ACGGAAGGCAGCAGUGAGGAAUAUUGGUCAAUGGGCGGAAGCCUGAACCAGCCAAGUAGCGUGCAGGAUGACGGCCCUACGGGUUGUAAACUGCUUUUGCGCAGGGAUAAAGAUUGCCUCGGGAGGCAAGUUGCAGGUACUGCGUGAAUAAGGACCGGCUAAUUCCGUGCCAGCAGCCGCGGUAAUACGGAAGGUCCGAGCGUUAUCCGGAUUUAUUGGGUUUAAAGGGUGCGCAGGCGGCCGUGCAAGCCAGCCGUAAAAUCGCGGGGCUCAACCCCGCUCAGCGGUUGGAACUGCAUGGCUUGGUUGCGGCAGGGGAAGGUGGAACUCGUGGUGUAGCGGUGAAAUGCAUAGAUAUCACGAAGAACUCCGAUCGCGAAGGCAGCCUUCCGGGCCGUUAACGACGCUCAUGCACGAAGGUGCGGGUAUCAAACAGGAUUAGAUACCCUGGUA
rnacentral:rRNA from 1 species